AUGAACGCUGGCGGCGUGCCUAAUACAUGCAAGUCGAGCGAACAGAUAAGGAGCUUGCUCCUUUGACGUUAGCGGCGGACGGGUGAGUAACACGUGGGUAACCUACCUAUAAGACUGGGAUAACUUCGGGAAACCGGAGCUAAUACCGGAUAACAUUUGGAACCGCAUGGUUCUAAAGUGAAAGAUGGUUUUGCUAUCACUUGUAGAUGGACCCGCGCCGUAUUAGCUAGUUGGUAAGGUAACGGCUUACCAAGGCGACGAUACGUAGCCGACCUGAGAGGGUGAUCGGCCACACUGGAACUGAGACACGGUCCAGACUCCUACGGGAGGCAGCAGUAGGGAAUCUUCCGCAAUGGGCGAAAGCCUGACGGAGCAACGCCGCGUGAGUGAUGAAGGGUUUCGGCUCGUAAAACUCUGUUAUUAGGGAAGAACAAAUGUGUAAGUAACUGUGCACGUCUUGACGGUACCUAAUCAGAAAGCCACGGCUAACUACGUG
rnacentral:rRNA from 1 species